GCACUCACCUACGGCGGUCCGCGCCGCGGAGACGAUGACCACGGGGUCCGAGCCUGCGUUCAUCCUGCGGCUCCGCUUCCGGCCAGCUGUCAGCCAGGCGCCGUCUACGACUGAGUUACUGCAUAGCCAUCACGUUGAUCACCCCCAGCUCCAGUCUCCAAAUUUUGGCAUAGCAACCUCCAAGACUGUCCUCCCCACUCAGGGUCUAGCUGGGCAUGGUGGUGUCUGCCUUUAAUCCCACCAGAGGCAAGAGGAUCUAUGAGUUCGAGGUAAGCAUGGUCUACAGAGCGAGUUCCACAGGACAGCCAGGGCUACACCGAGAGACCCAGUCUUGCUAACCUAGAACUAUGAGACCUGACUGUCCUCAAACUCACAGAAUCUGCACACUUCUGUCUCCCAAGCACUGGAUUAAAGACAUGUGCCACCACAUCUAGCCAGCUGUUUCUUGCAAAUCAUAUGCAUCAAAAUUUUCCACCAGAAAGUUCUACUUUCCUGUAAAUUAAUAAAGAUUAAGGGGAAAAAAAACAAUUAUAAAAUACAUUAAUUGGUCACUUGACCCCAGAGACAUAAAGAAUUUUACAGUAAAAUAUUUAAAAAUGCUUAACACAGUUUAACUACCCCAUGGAUGAAUGAUUAGGAAGCUGAUGAAGUUCUAGUGUAAGCUGAAGCUAGUUCUAGGCCAUUGUUGGCCAUACGGAGAAACCCUGUCUUAAGAAUCACCUCUAAACUUAUUCUUAACUAAAACACCUUAAAACUGCUUCAAUUUUAUGUUAGUAACUAUGCUGAUUAAAAUUGGUGUCUGUGGUCAUCACAACACACAUAAACACACUCCAUACAUGGUGUGGGGCUGGGAGUGUACUCUGAUUUUAGCAUUAAGGCUUGGGUUCAAUCCUUAGUACUCGCUACCAAAGAAAAGGCUGAGGACACAGCUUAAUUAUAAAGUGCUUAUCUAGCAUGGUCAAAGCCCUAGGCUCAAUCCUCAGCACCACAAGAUAAAUAGAGAGAACUUAAUUACAAGUGAAUAUUUGGAAAAGAAAAGCAGAGAUCACUCCUCUCAUUUAAUUUUUUAAAAAUGGGGGGCUGGAAAGUUAGCGCAGCAUUUAAGAGCACUUGGCUGCUUUUCCUGAGGACGCAGGUUUGAUUCUUACCAUAUACAUGGUGGCUCCCAACCUUCUCUAACUCCAAUUCCAAGGGAUCUGACACCCUCUUCUGGCCGCUACAUGCAUGUGGUGCACAGACAGAAAUGCAGACAAAUCACUCAUACACACGUAAAAAAAAAAUCUUUAAAAACAAAUGCCUUAGCAUCUUUCUUAAAAACAUUUUUGUUGUCUUCUCAUAUGUAUGGGUGUUUUGCCUGCAUGUAAGUCUGUGUGUGAGGGAAGUAUAUUAGAUCCUCUGAACUGCAGUUUUAGAUGACUAUAAGCUUCCAUGUAGGAGGUGGAAAUUGAACCUGGUUCCUCUGGAAGAGAAGCCAGUGCUCUUAACCACUGGGCCAUCUCUAUAACACCUUAAAAAAAAAAGUCUCUGGCAAUGGUGGUGCACGCCUUUAAUCCCAGCACUUGGGAGGCAGAGCCAGGCAGAUCUCUGUGAGUUCGAGGCCAGCCUGAUCUACAGAGCGAGCUCCAGGACAGGCACCAAAACUGCACAGAGAAACCCUAUUUCAAAAAGCCAAUAAAAAAACAAAAAAAAAACCAAAAACCAAAACUCCCAAAGAUCUUAACAGGAAAUACUUACAGACUUACAAAAAAGAAGGGACAUCAUAUAUUGUUUUCAUUAUCAAGGGAAGAAAGCCAGGUUAUUUUGUGGAGAUGUACAUAUAAUUGCCUAAAUGACUAAGUGUAAACUGAAGAUACCAAUAUAUUCCUAACACUCUGAUGAAUGUCUUGUCAAAUGAGAUAGUUUAAAACAGACAGUAUUACAGAGAGAAUCACAGUCCACCUCUCAUUAGCUCUUCUGUUCACUUUUUGAGACAGAAUAUAUGAAUGUACUCCCUGAAUUCCCCAUUCUCCUGCAUCAACCUCACCAAUGCUGGGAUUGAAGGCAUGAGUUACCACACCCAGCUAAAAUCUUUAUCCCUCAAAAUUGGAACUGAAACAGAGGGGAAAUACCAUAUACACAUACAAGAAAACCCAAAACCCAGUCACCUGAAUCAUUCCACACCGAUUACUGAUUAAUCACUACUUAUUUUCAAAUUAACAAUGUAUUUUUAAUACUUGAUUUAUUCUGGCUUAUGAUUUAAUUUUAUAAUAAAACCCCAUUUAUGGGUUGUUAAAAUAAGAUUAACUAAUAAAAAGAAAUACCAAGUAACCAUUCAAAAGGUAGUAAUUUAGAUAUGCUUAAACAUACCCAAGAGAUAAAAAUGGAGGGAAAAAAUAACGCUUUGAAGUAUAUGCUCGUACGGUAUGAUUACAUUUCUUUAAAACCAAUAUACAUAAAAUCAUUGCAUAUGCACAUAUUAUCUUGAUGAUACCCAAGCUAUUUGACAGCAGUAACUGGUCCUGCAGAGCAGAAUGGGCCAGGCUGACACAGGCCCAGGAGUGACACUUUCCGUCCCUCCUUCCUCAAGUGUAUACCGAGCAGGCAUUGUCUUAUGAAGAGAGAAGUUACAACAAGGAAGCAGGCCCACAGGCCUCAAAGUUACUGUAUCCAAGUAGCAAAGAAAGACUAGCUAAGUGUGAACACAUGUUAGUAACACAUUUUACAGAUUACUACUUAACCUACUAAAAAUAUACUCAGGGCUUUUUCUAUUGUGAUCUGAAAAUGCAUAAAAUAAAUACAAAAGAUCCAAUUGGUCACAGUAAACUACUUUUAAACAGAUUGGUUACUUACCCUCCAAACCCCAUGACAAUUUUAGAAGCAAACUUGUUCCUGUAAAGUUAUACAAAUCACUCCUCCGACCCACCCCUGCCCCACAAUCAGUUCCCUAAAGCAAACAUAUAAGAU